UACGCAGGGUGCGAGCGUUAAUCGGAAUUACUGGGCGUAAAGCGUGCGCAGGCGGCGCGUUAAGACAGGUGUGAAAGCCCCGAGCUUAACUUGGGAAUUGCGCUUGUGACUGGCGUGCUGGAGUGUGGCAGAGGGAGGUGGAAUUCCACGUGUAGCAGUGAAAUGCGUAGAGAUGUGGAGGAACACCGAUGGCGAAGGCAGCCUCCUGGGCCAGCACUGACGCUCAUGCACGAAAGCGUGGGGAGCAAACAG
rnacentral:rRNA from 1 species